UACGUAGGGGGCAAGCGUUAUCCGGAUUUACUGGGUGUAAAGGGAGCGUAGACGGCUGUGCAAGCCAGAUGUGAAAGCCCGGGGCCUCAACCCCGGGACUGCAUUUGGAACUGCGUGGCUUGAGUGUCGGAGAGGCAGGCGGAAUCCUAGUGUAGCGGUGAAAUGCGUAGAUAUCAGGAAGAACACCGGUGGCGGAGGCGGCUUACUGGACGGCAACUGACGCUGAGGCUCGAAAGCGUGGGGAGCAAACAGGA
rnacentral:rRNA from 1 species